ensembl:lncRNA
UGACCUGCGUCACUGUGCAGUGAAGCCGUGGUUUGCAGCCAGCCCCAGGCACCUCAGGCCUGUGUGACAAUGCCCUGCCCCCCACAGGUAAUGGACAAGGUUGAUUAUGACAAUGCCAGCUGCAGAUGGGGUCAAAUUUUUGAUGGUGGAGCUUUAAUUAACUUUCCACCCUAGGUUCAAAGUACAUGAGGAUAUUUCUACAGAUGCAUAAUUCCCUUCUUCAGAUGCUCUGAACCUGUGGUGGAUCCAUUCCUGACCCCUUGGCAGAGUUGCCCACUUCUCAGCUGAGGGUGGACUCUGAUGGAUGCCAGGCCCCGGAGAUGCCUGCUUGUCCUGAGAGUCACCCUGGAGGACAGACCUUGUUGACCAAGGUGUCUGGAAUCUGACUAUCUAUGCUCUUCCAAAGUGAUGGAGUCACUGCUUGACAGAGCCUUCUCUGAGUCUCCCAGUCUAACAGUUCACUGAUCCUAUAACCCCGGCACUGGACACAUUGUUCACCCUGAUGAGGGUGCUCUUCUUUAUGUAUGUUACCAUCUGCUAUCUGUUUAUGUGGAUUUUGCUUGUUUCUUCCUUUGAAGGAAGAGACCUUGAGGGCAGAAUUGCAGUCCUUUAUUUCUUCUAAGCCUGCUCAAGGCCUCUAAGAAUGUCUGCAACUCAAGUAUCCCUGGCAAACAGGGUGACCUGAGCAUUUUAAUGAACCAGAGCACAGAUGAAGGCUGUUCCAGUAAAGGGCUAAACUAUCCUGAGAAUCAGGCUCGGAUUCAUUCCUCAGGUUUCAGUGUGUUUACAGGGCAGUUUACCCGGCGGUUUGAGUCGCUGUACUCCCGUUUGCCCCACAUCCAACAGUACCAGUGCUGUCAGCCUUUCAGAGGGGGCAACUGGACCAAGGCAGACGUGCUGUUUGAUUUGUUGGCAGGGUUGGGUAGCUGUUUCUGUUUUUAUUUGUAUUUAACUGGAGUGUGUGUCAGGACCGCAUCCUCCGCUUUGAAGAAAGAUAGACACCCUGCAUUUCCAGGCCUGGGUUAUUGCAUGUCCGUGUUUAUUACCUGUAUUAUAAAGGCAGUAUCAACAAGAGUAAGAAAAAAG